rnacentral:rRNA from 1 species
GACGAACGCUGGCGGCGUGCUUAACACAUGCAAGUCGAACGGAAAGGCCCUGCUUUUGUGGGUGCUCGAGUGGCGAACGGGUGAGUAACACGUGAGUAACCUGCCCUUGACUUUGGGAUAACUUCAGGAAACUGGGGCUAAUACCGGAUAGGAGCUCCUGCUGCCUGGUGGGGGUUGGAAAGUUUCGGCGGUGGGGGAUGGACUCGCGGCUUAUCAGCUUGUUGGUGGGGUAGUGGCUUACCAAGGCUUUGACGGGUAGCCGGCCUGAGAGGGUGACCGGCCACAGUGGGACUGAGAUACGGCCCAGACUCCUACGGGAGGCAGCAGUGGGGAAUAUUGCACAAUGGGCGGAAGCCUGAUGCAGCAACGCCGCGUGCGGGAUGGCGGCCUUCGGGUUGUAAACCGCUUUCGCCUGUGACGAAGCGUGAGUGACGGUAAUGGGUAAAGAAGCACCGGCUAACUACGUG